rnacentral:snRNA from 1 species
AUUGCUUCUUGGUAUUUUUGCUAAGACAAAGAGUAGUAUCUGUUCCUAUUAGUUUAAUAUCUAAUACAUCCUCUAUUCAAGACAAUAUAUUACAUGGUAUUUUCGGUGCAGGAAGGCAAAAUAAGAGAGUGCUGUCCACUCCAUACAUUGACCCAGUACUGAAGUGCCUUCAGGAAUAUUGUAUCCUUU